rnacentral:rRNA from 1 species
UGGGGAAUAUUGCGCAAUGGGGGAAACCCUGACGCAGCAACGCCGCGUGGGUGAAGAAGGCCUUCGGGUUGUAAAGCCCUGUCAGAAGGGAAGAAGGGAUUGCGAGCGAAUAACUCGCAACCUUGACGGUACCUUUAGAGGAAGCGCCGGCUAACUCCGUGCCAGCAGCCGCGGUAAUACGGAGGGCGCAAGCGUUGUUCGGAAUUAUUGGGCGUAAAGCGCGUGUAGGCGGUUCGGAAAGUUGGGUGUGAAAGCCCUUGGCUCAACCAAGGAAUUGCAUUCAAAACUACCGGACUUGAGUGCGGGAGAGGGAAGUGGAACUCCUAGUGUAGAGGUGAAAUUCGUAGAUAUUAGGAGGAACACCUGUGGCGAAGGCGGCUUCCUGGACCGACACUGACGC